AUUGAACGCUGGCGGCAGGCCUAACACAUGCAAGUCGAACGAGUGGCGGACGGGUGAGUAAUGUCUGGGAAACUGCCUGAUGGAGGGGGAUAACUACUGGAAACGGUAGCUAAUCCCGCAUACCAUCGGAUGUGCCCAGAUGGGAGUAGCUGGUAGGUGGGGUAACGGCUCACCUAGGCGACGAUCCCUAGCUGGUCUGAGGGGAUGACCAGCCACACGGGAACUGGGACACGGUCUAGAAUCCUACGGGAGGCAGCAGUGGGGAACAUUGCACAAUGGGCGCAAGCCUGAUGCAGCCAUGCCGCGUGUAUGAAGAAGGCCUUCGGGUUGUAAAGUACUUUCAGCGGGGAGGCGUUACCCAAAGAAGAAGCACCGGCUAACUCCGUGCCAGCAGCCGCGGUAAUUC
rnacentral:rRNA from 1 species